AUUGAACGCUGGCGGCAUGCUUUACACAUGCAAGUCGAACGGUAACAGGCCUUCGGGUUCUGACGCGUGGCUGACGGGUGAGUAAUGCAUCGGAACGUGCCCAGAGGUGGGGGAUAACGCAGCGAAAGCUGAGCUAAUACCGCAUGUGAUCUGAGGUUGAGAGGCGGGGACCGAGCAGCAAUGUUUGGCCUCGCGCCUCUGGAGCGGCCGAUGUCCGAUUAGGUAGUUGGGGGGGUAAUGGCCUACCAAGCCGACGAUCUGUAGCCGGUCUGAGAGGACGGCAGGCCACACUAGAACUGAGACACGGCCCAGACUCCUACGGGAGGGAGCAGUGGGGAAUUUUGGACAAUGGGCGCAAGCAUGAUCCAGCAAGGCCGCGUGCGGGAAGAAGGCCUUCGGGUUGUAAACCGCUUUUGUACGGAACGAAAAGGCUCUGGCUAAUACCUGGGGCUGAUGACGGUACCGUAAGAAUAAGCACCGGCUAACUACGUG
rnacentral:rRNA from 1 species